rnacentral:lncRNA from 1 species
UCAAAUUCACAUCUAUAAAACCUGUGCAGUUUAUAAUCAUAUAUCACAUCACUCGAUAAUUCACAUUUAUGGCAACCCAAGCCAACUUGACAAACAUAAACAACAUUUAUAAAUCCACAAGCUAAAUAAAUUAUACAAUCAGAACUUCAACUAUUCACCACAAGUUCAUAUCAUCAUAAAUUAGACUUAACAUUCCGAAAUUCCAAAUAAGAGAGAUCGUCUAACACUUUUACAAGGUAUAUCCA